GAUGAACGCUGGCGGCGUGCUUAACACAUGCAAGUCGAGCGGAAAGGCGCUGCUUUUGUGGCUCUCUCGAUUGGCGAGCGGGUGAGUAACACGUGUGUAACCUGUCCUUAUCUGUCGGAUAACUUCUGGAGACAGGGGCGAAUACCGCAGAGGAUCUCCUGCUGCAUGUUGGGGGAUGGAGAGUGUCGGCGUUGGGGGAUGGACUCGCGGCUUAUCAGCUUGAUGGUGGAGUAGUGGCUUACAAAGGCUUUGACGGGUAGCCGGCCUGAGAGGGUGACCGGCCACAUUGGGACUGAGAUAGGGACCAGAAUCCUACGGGAGGCAGCAGUGGGGAAUAUUGCACAAUGGGCGGAAGCCUGAUGCAGCAACGCCGCGUGCGGGAUGCCGGCCUUCGGGUUGUAAACCGCUUUCGCCUGUGACGAAGCGUGAGUGACGGUAAUGGGUAAAGAAGCAACGGCUAACUACGUG
rnacentral:rRNA from 1 species